rnacentral:rRNA from 1 species
GGUUAAGCGAACAAGCGUACACGGUGGAUGCCCUGGCAGUCAGAGGCGAUGAAGGACGUGCUAAUCUGCGAAAAGCGCCGGUAAGGUGAUAUGAACCGUUAUAACCGGCGAUGUCCGAAUGGGGAAACCCGGUGCACUUCGGUGCAUCAUCGUUAGCUGAAUACAUAGGCUAACGAGGCGAACCGGGGGAACUGAAACAUCUAAGUACCCCGAGGAAAAGAAAUCAACCGAGAUUCCCCCAGUAGCGGCGAGCGAACGGGGAACAGCCCAGAGCCUGAAUCAGCUUGUGUGUCAGUGGAACGGUCUGGAAAGGCCGGCGAUACAGGGUGACAGCCCCGUACACGAAGGCACACAGGCUGUGAGCUCGAUGAGUAGGGCGGGACACGUGAUAUCCUGUCUGAAGAUGGGGGGACCAUCCUCCAAGGCUAAAUACUCCUGACUGACCGAUAGUGAACCAGUACCGUGAGGGAAAGGCGAAAAGAACCCCGGCGAGGGGAGUGAAACAGAACCUGAAACCGUGUACGUACAAGCAGUGGGAGCCUUCGUAAGAGGGUGACUGCGUACCUUUUGUAUAAUGGGUCAGCGACUUAUAUUCUGUAGCAAGGUUAACCGUAUAGGGGAGCCGAAGGGAAACCGAGUCUUAACCGGGCGUUAAGUUGCAGGGUAUAGACCCGAAACCCGGUGAUCUAGCCAUGGGCAGGUUGAAGGUUGGGUAACACUAACUGGAGGACCGAACCGACUAAUGUUGAAAAAUUAGCGGAUGACCUGUGGCUGGGGGUGAAAGGCCAAUCAAACCGGGAGAUAGCUGGUUCUCCCCGAAAGCUAUUUAGGUAGCGCCUCGUGAAUUCAUCUCCGGGGGUAGAGCACUGUUUCGGCUAGGGGGCCAUCCCGGCUUACCAACCCGAUGCAAACUGCGAAUACCGGAGAAUGUUAUCACGGGAGACACACGGCGGGUGCUAACGUCCGUCGUGAAGAGGGAAACAACCCAGACCGCCAGCUAAGGUCCCAAAGUCAUGGUUAAGUGGGAAACGAUGUGGGAAGGCCCAGACAGCCAGGAUGUUGGCUUAGAAGCAGCCAUCAUUUAAAGAAAGCGUAAUAGCUCACUGGUCGAGUCGGCCUGCGCGGAAGAUGUAACGGGGCUAAACCAUGCACCGAAGCUGCGGCAGCGACACGUAUGUGUUGUUGGGUAGGGGAGCGUUCUGUAAGCCUGUGAAGGUGUGCUGUGAGGCAUGCUGGAGGUAUCAGAAGUGCGAAUGCUGACAUAAGUAACGAUAAAGCGGGUGAAAAGCCCGCUCGCCGGAAGACCAAGGGUUCCUGUCCAACGUUAAUCGGGGCAGGGUGAGUCGACCCCUAAGGCGAGGCCGAAAGGCGUAGUCGAUGGGAAACAGGUUAAUAUUCCUGUACUUGGUGUUACUGCGAAGGGGGGACGGAGAAGGCUAUGUCGGCCGGGCGACGGUUGUCCCGGUUUAAGCGUGUAGGCUGACUUUCCAGGCAAAUCCGGAAGGUUAAGGCUGAGGCGUGAUGACGAGGCACCACGGUGCUGAAGUGACAAAUGCCCUGCUUCCAGGAAAAGCCUCUAAGCAUCAGGUAACAUCAAAUCGUACCCCAAACCGACACAGGUGGUCAGGUAGAGAAUACCAAGGCGCUUGAGAGAACUCGGGUGAAGGAACUAGGCAAAAUGGUGCCGUAACUUCGGGAGAAGGCACGCUGACAUGUAGGUGAAGCCCCUGCGGGUGGAGCUGAAGUCAGUCGAAGAUACCAGCUGGCUGCAACUGUUUAUUAAAAACACAGCACUGUGCAAACACGAAAGUGGACGUAUACGGUGUGACGCCUGCCCGGUGCCGGAAGGUUAAUUGAUGGGGUUAUCGCAAGAGAAGCUCCUGAUCGAAGCCCCGGUAAACGGCGGCCGUAACUAUAACGGUCCUAAGGUAGCGAAAUUCCUUGUCGGGUAAGUUCCGACCUGCACGAAUGGCGUAAUGAUGGCCAGGCUGUCUCCACCCGAGACUCAGUGAAAUUGAACUCGCUGUGAAGAUGCAGUGUACCCGCGGCAAGACGGAAAGACCCCGUGAACCUUUACUACAGCUUGACACUGAACAUUGAGCCUUGAUGUGUAGGAUAGGUGGGAGGCUUUGAAGCGUGGACGCCAGUCUGCGUGGAGCCGACCUUGAAAUACCACCCUUUAAUGUUUGAUGUUCUAACCUGGCGCCAUAAUCUGGCGUGGGGACAGUGUCUGGUGGGUAGUUUGACUGGGGCGGUCUCCUCCCAAAGUGUAACGGAGGAGCACGAAGGUCAGCUAAUCCUGGUCGGACAUCAGGAGGUUAGUGCAAUGGCAUAAGCUGGCUUGACUGCGAGAGUGACGGCUCGAGCAGGUGCGAAAGCAGGUCAUAGUGAUCCGGUGGUUCUGUAUGGAAGGGCCAUCGCUCAACGGAUAAAAGGUACUCCGGGGAUAACAGGCUGAUACCGCCCAAGAGUUCAUAUCGACGGCGGUGUUUGGCACCUCGAUGUCGGCUCAUCACAUCCUGGGGCUGAAGUAGGUCCCAAGGGUAUGGCUGUUCGCCAUUUAAAGUGGUACGCGAGCUGGGUUUAGAACGUCGUGAGACAGUUCGGUCCCUAUCUGCCGUGGGCGCUGGAGAAUUGAGGGGGGCUGCUCCCAGUACGAGAGGACCGGAGUGGACGCAUCACUGGUGUUCGGGUUGUCAUGCCAAUGGCACUGCCCGGUAGCUAAAUGCGGAAGAGAUAAGUGCUGAAAGCAUCUAAGCACGAAACUUGCCCCGAGAUGAGUUCUCCCUGAGACUAUAAGUCUCCUGAAGGAACGUUGAAGACGACGACGUUGAUAGGCCGGGUGUGUAAGCGCAGCGAUGCGUUGAGCUAACCGGUACUAAUGAACCGUGAGGCUUAACCUU